rnacentral:rRNA from 1 species
AUGUACUCCAUCAGAGGAUCAAAUGAUCAGAGAGAGGAGAUGAACCUGGGCACCAGCCGAACCCAGCAGCAGCUCCUGGACGUGGGAGAGGAGAAGCGCCUGCGCCUGGAUGCAGUGGCCGGAGGUGGGUACGGAGGUGGAGAUGGAGGAACAGCCUGUGCUCGCCUCCACCUGGGCGCGGGUCAGGAGGAGCCCCUGUGUGUGGGCGGCAGCAGAGCACCAGCUCUACUCCAGCGGCGGCAGCGCCUGGGCAGGGGGCGGAGGUGGAGACGGAGGGCGGAGGUGGAGAUGGAGGUGGAGGGCGGAGGUGAGGGUGGAGGUGGAGGGCGGAGGUGA